ensembl:lncRNA
AGUCCCCAUUUUACAGGCCUGUGUGAGUUCGUGCUGUUACUUCAGUCAUGUCCAGCUCUUUGCGACCCUGUGGACUAUAGCCCACCAGACUCCUCUGUUCAUGGGAUUCUCCAGACAAGAAUACUGGAGUGGGUUGCCAAGCCCUCCUCCAGGGGAUCUUCCUGAGCCAGGGAUCAAACCCGCAUCUCUUAUGUUGGCAGAUGGAGUCUGCCAGCUCGGACUCCUGACUACACAACACAGUCAUUCAGCUCCCAUUAAACAGGUCAUUGCUAAAAUGAGCAAAAAUAGACAUUAUUCUGGGUUGAAAAGGGAGAAGAGUUGGAAAAUUGAGAUUGGUCUUAUGGAACUUCAGCCACUUGGAAAGCUCAGUGCCAACUCAAAAAGUGUCUUUAAGCAAAAUGACGUGAAUAUGGAUGUAAGUCAAGAAGGGCCCAGGAUCAUGCAUCUGCCUUUAAAGGAUAAAGAAGUUGUGCUACACAUAUACAAUGGAAUAUUGCUCAGCUAUAAAAAGGAAUGAAUUUGGGUCAAUUGUAGUGAGUUUCAUGUGGGAAGGCUGGUACCAGACUUUGUGGAUCCAUCUGGGGUUCUCAGAGGCCUGUUGUGAAGACUGAUGUCAUGAGAGCAGAAUAGCAACCAUAUUGGCAACUCUCACUUCCUUUUGCUGGUAACUGGUCCAGAAUAUACAUAAUCCAUUGUAGAGAACAAAUGCAUUUUCCAACUCCAAGGACUAAAUUUUACAAAACUAAAGCAUAGACUUCUGUUUUUGUAUCAUUUGAAAUCACUUAAUU